CUCCACUAGCAGAGGCUACAGACAAGUGGGAUCUGAAAGGAUGCAGCAUUCGGAAUGCGCUCCCCACAGUGGACAGUUCUGUCUAAAGCUGGGGACAUAAAACCAUACUGUCAACCUUCUCAGGUUCCAGCUAAAGAACUAAUCAGAUGCAAGAGUGGCACAGCACAUUUUGGUACAAACUGAAGACAUAUUGACCCGUUACCUG